rnacentral:rRNA from 1 species
UGUGGUGGCGAUAGCAAGAAGGAUACACCUGUUCCCAUAUCGAACACAGUAGUUAAGCUUCUUAGCGCCGAUGGUAGUGGGGG